rnacentral:lncRNA from 1 species
GAUAUUCUAAGUGGUAUCCGAAUGGUUUUCGGCCAAAUAUCGCGAUAUUAUCGAUAAUAUCGCGAUAUUGGAAAUAUCGGCGAAAUUUUUUUGAGUUUGGUGCAAUCGGACUCCGAGGCGACGUCGGAGAAGAACGCCGGAGACGGUGUGCCUAUUCCCGGGCCGAUUUCGUCCUAAAAACCUUGCAAAAACACGAAUUUUAACAUCAAUUUCACAUAUAAACUUCAGAUUUCACGCAUGCAUAAACGAUUCAACAUAUGUGAAGUCGGUUUAGGGUUUAGGGUUUCAAUGGAAUCUCACCUGACGAAGACGAAGACGAACCAGAUGACUGAACGUGAUCCUUGCUCAGCGGCGCACCGCCAGAGACGACUGAGCCAACUCCGACUUCGCCAGAGCCACGAUCAACGGCGAAGGGAGAAGAGAGAUCGAGAGAUCUGUGUGUGUGUGUGUGUUUGGGAGAAGAGAGAUCGGAGAAAGGAGAAGAGAGAUCGGAGAAUGGAGAAGAGAGAUCUUCGAUCUGUGUGUGUGUGUGUGUGUGUUUGGGAGAAGAGAGAUCUCCGAUCUCUGUAGAUGGAGGGUGUGUGCGUGUGUGUGUGUGUGGAAUGAGGGAGAAGUGUGUGUGUGUUAUCCGAGAGAAAGAAAAAAAU